AAGAGUAAGCGAGCAGUUGCGAAAUUAGUCUUAAAGUAUAAUGAAAAUUUGCUUUAAGUACGGAUUUUGAGGAAAGUCCGGGCUUCCAAGAAGAUCAGGCUGCUGGAUAACGCCCAGUGCGAGCAAUCGUGAGGAUAGUGCCACAGAAAGAUACCGCCUAACUUCGGUUAGGUAAGGGUGCAAAGGUGUGUUAAGAGCGCACCAGCAGGGUCGUGAGGCUCUGGCUCGGUAAACCCCAGUCGGAAGCAAGGCGAGAGGAAAUAAGCGUUGCGAUCUUCAAUAGACCUUAUUUCCGUGACUUAACUGCGUUUAGUGCGCGAAAGCGUGGCAAGCGUAGUUAAGUGUGUGCCGCAAGAGGUAUUUGGUAACAAAUAUCCCAGAUAGAUAACCGCUAGGGCAGUUGUUAUCAACUCCCAAAACAGAACCCGGCUUAUGUCUUACUCUUUCU
rnacentral:RNase_P_RNA from 2 species